GACGAACGCUGGCGGCGUGCUUAACACAUGCAAGUCGAACGGAAAGGCCCUGCUUUUGUGGUGUGCUCGAGUGGCGAACGGGUGAGUAACACGUGAGUAACCUGCCCUUGACUUUGGGAUAACUUCAGGAAACUGGGGCUACUACCGGAUAGGAGCUCCUGCUGCAUGGUGGGGGUUGGAAAGUUUCGGCGGUUGGGGUUGGACUCGCGGCUUAUCAGCUUGUUGGUUGGGUAGUGGCUUGCCCAGGCUUUGGCGGGUAGCCGGCCUGAGAGGGUGACCGGCGACAUUGGGACUGAGAGACGGCCCAGACUCCUACGGGAGGCAGCAGUGGGGAAUAUUGCACAAUGGGCGGAAGCCUGAUGCAGCAACGCCGCGUGCGGGAUGACGGCCUUCGGGUUGUAAACCGCUGUCGCCUGUGACGAAGCGUGAGUGACGGUAAUGGGUAAAGAAGCACCGGCUAACUACGUG
rnacentral:rRNA from 1 species